rnacentral:rRNA from 1 species
AUUCCAGCUCCAAUAGCGUAUAUUAAAGUUGUUGCAGUUAAAAAGCUCGUAGUUGGAUUUCUGGUGGGAGCGUUGGGCCGGCCCUAAGGGUCUGAGCUCAAAUGUUUUCCGCCAUCCUUGGAGGGAUGUUGUCUGGCAUUAAGUUGUCGGGCUUCCGAUCUCCAUCGUUUACUGUGAAAAAAUUAGAGUGUUCAAAGCAGGCUUAUGCCGUUGAAUACAUUAGCAUGGAAUAAUAAGAUAGGACCUUGGUACUAUUUUGUUGGUUUGCGCACCUAGGUAAUGAUUAAUAGGGACAGUUGGGGAUAUUACUAUUUCGUUGUCAGAGGUGAAACUCUUGGAUUUACGAAAGAGUAACUACUGCGAAAGCAUUUAUCAAGGAUGUUUUCAUUG